rnacentral:lncRNA from 1 species
AAAAUUACAAAUCAAUACUUCUAAAUAAUUGCAGAUCUUCACGCUCAUCAUUGUGAUAAUUAUUCAGCAUCACUCUCAGUUGCUAAAUCAUUCAUCUUGAUUCAAUCAUUCACAAUGGUAGAACAUGCUUAUGAUAGGGUGGGGCCAUAACCACCCCAAACUUUGUUUUCUAUAUUUUUUUUAUAUAUUUAAAAUAUAAAAAUACUCAUACAUAUAAUAAAAAAUAACAAGUUUGUCAUCAGACUAUUAACCAAACAAAC